AAAGACUUGAUGCAGAUGUCUGCAAUUCCUCCAGCUGCUGUUAACAGUUUUGGAUGAGGUGUGAGGAAUUGGUGGCAGUAUGGACAACUUUACAGGACUGAAACUGCCUGUUGGAUCCAGAGAACAGGCAGCCAAAUUUGAAGGAUGCAGAAAAAUCUCUCCAAAGAGAGAUUAGGCAGAAUCUCCUGCCCUCCCCCUGGUCCCACUACAAUCUUGUCAGGCUGCAUCAGGAAGAACAGGGCUUCCAUUGUAUAAAGAACACACGAGAAGCCAUCCCGGAUUUUAAUUUUUUAAAAGCCUAUUAUGCAAUUCUGGGACGUAGCCAGGAAGAUCCCAGUCAGCAUGUUCCAUCAGUGAGAAAUAAAAGGAUAACAGACCCAAUA